rnacentral:rRNA from 1 species
UUGCGCGUCAACUUGUGAACUGCAGGACACAUGAACAUCGACAUUUCGAACGCACAUUGCGGUCCACGGAUACAAUUCCCGGACCACGCCUGGCUGAGGGUCG